UGGGGAAUAUUGCACAAUGGGGGAAACCCUGAUGCAGCGACGCCGCGUGAGCGAAGAAGGCUUUCGAGUCGUAAAGCUCUGUCCUAUGAGAAGAUAAUGACGGUAUCAUAGGAGGAAGCCCUGGCUAAAUACGUGCCAGCAGCCGCGGUAAUACGUAUGGGGCGAGCGUUGUCCGGAAUUAUUGGGCGUAAAGGGUACGUAGGCGGAUAAGCAAGUUAGAAGUGAAAUCCUAUAGCUCAACUAUAGUAAGCUUUUAAAACUGCUCAUCUUGAGGUAUGGAAGGGAAAGUGGAAUUCCUAGUGUAGCGGUGAAAUGCGCAGAUAUUAGGAGGAAUACCGGUGGCGAAGGCGACUUUCUGGCCAUAAACUGACGCUAAGGUACGAAAGCGUGGGUAGCAAACAGG
rnacentral:rRNA from 1 species